AACCAGCACCUCAAGUGGUCAGGAUGAUUAUUGGGCCUAAAGCAUCCGUAGCCGGCUCUGUAAGUUUUCGGUUAAAUCUGUACGCUCAACGUACAGGCUGCCGGGAAUACUGCAGAGCUAGGGAGUGGGAGAGGUAGACGGUACUCGGUAGGAAGGGGUAAAAUCCUUUGAUCUAUUGAUGACCACCUGUGGCGAAGGCGGUCUACCAGAACACGUCCGACGGUGAGGGAUGAAGCCUAGGGGCACGAACCGG
rnacentral:rRNA from 1 species